AGAUGCAAGUCGAGGGGUAACAGGGAGCUUGCUCCGCUGACGACCGGCGCACGGGUGCGUAACGCGUAUAGAAUCUGCCUUACACUGAGGGAUAGCCUUUGGAAACGAAGAUUAAUACCUCAUAGUAUCAUUGAAUGGCAUCAUUUGGUGAUUAAAGGUUACGGUGUAAGAUGACUAUGCGUCCUAUUAGCUUGUUGGUAAGGUAACGGCUUACCAAGGCAACGAUAGGUAGGGGCCCUGAGAGGGGGAUCCCCCACACUGGUACUGAGACACGGACCAGACUCCUACGGGAGGCAGCAGUGAGGAAUAUUGGACAAUGGAGGCAACUCUGAUCCAGCCAUGCCGCGUGAAGGAUGACUGCCCUAUGGGUUGUAAACUUCUUUUAUACAGGAAGAAACACUGCUACGUGUAGCAGCUUGACGGUACUGUAUGAAUAAGCACCGGCUAACUCCGUGCCAGCAGCCGCGGUAAUACGGAGGGUGCAAGCGUUAUCCGGAAUCAUUGGGUUUAAAGGGUCCGUAGGCGGACUAAUAAGUCAGAGGUGAAAUCCUGCAGCUCAACUGUAGAACUGCCUUUGAAACUGUUAGUCUUGAGUUAUUGUGAAGUGGUUAGAAUAUGUAGUGUAGCGGUGAAAUGCUUAGAGAUUACAUGGAAUACCGAUUGCGAAGGCAGAUCACUAACAAUAUACUGACGCUGAUGGACGAAAGCGUGGGGAGCGAACGGGAUUAGAUACCCCGGUAGUCCACGCCGUAAACGAUGGAUACUAGCUGUUCGGCCGUAAGGCUGAGUGGCUAAGCGAAAGUGAUAAGUAUCCCACCUGGGGAGUACGUUCGCAAGAAUGAAACUCAAAG
rnacentral:rRNA from 1 species